rnacentral:rRNA from 1 species
CAGCAGCCGCGGUAAUACGUAGGGUGCGAGCGUUAAUCGGAAUUACUGGGCGUAAAGCGUGCGCAGGCGGUUUUGUAAGACAGGCGUGAAAUCCCCGGGCUCAACCUGGGAAUGGCGCUUGUGACUGCAAAGCUAGAGUGCGGCAGAGGGGGAUGGAAUUCCGCGUGUAGCAGUGAAAUGCGUAGAGAUGUGGAGGAAUACCGAUGGCGAAGGCAGCCCCCUGGGACGAGACUGACGCUCAUGCACGAAAGCGUGGGGAGCAAACAGGAUUAGAUACCCCAGUAGUCCCUGUCUCUUAUAC